AUGGGGCGCAGCAGGCGCGAAAACUUUACUAUGCGAGAAAUCGUGAUAAGGGAACUCCGAGUGCCCGUAAAAUCGGGCUGUCCAUCGGUUUAAAUAACCGGUGAAGAAAGGGCUGGGCAAGACCGGUGCCAGCCGCCGCGGUAAUACCGGCGGCUCGAGUGGUGGCCACUAUUACUGGGCUUAAAGCGUUCGUAGCUGGUCUGUUAAGUCUCUGGGGAAAUCUUCCGGCUCAACCGGAAGGCGUCUCAGGGAUACUGGCAGACUAGGGACCGGGAGAGGUGAGGGGUACUCCAGGGGUAGGAGUGAAAUCCUGUAAUCCUUGGGGGACCACCUGUGGCGAAGGCGCCUCACCAGAACGGCUCCGACAGUGAGGAACGAAAGCUGGGGGAGCAAACCGGAUUAGAUACCCGGGUAGUCCCAGCCGUAAACGAUGCGCGUUAGGUGUAUCGGUGACCACGAGUCACCGAGGUGCCGAAGAGAAAUCGUGAAACGUGCCGCCUGGGAAGUACGGUCGCAAGGCUGAAACUUAAAGGAAUUGGCGGGGGAGCAC
rnacentral:rRNA from 1 species